UAGCAAAUGACGAGAUAUGUUUUCUUGACUGAGAAAAUCGCCAUGAAGCUUCAAAAACCGAGCUUUUUAAAACCGAUGCUCG
rnacentral:snoRNA from 1 species